GCCAGGCGUUGUGGCGGGCGCCUGUAGUCCCAGCUACUUGGGAGGCUGAGGCAGGAGACUCGCUUGAGCCCAGGAGUUGGAGGUUGCUGUGAGCGUGAUGCCAUGGCACUCUACCCACGGGGACAGCUUGAGGCUCCGUCUCAAAAAAAAAAAAAAAAAAGAAUACCGUGGCAUCACAGCUCACAGCAACCUCAAACUCUUGGGCUUAAGUGAUUCUCUUGCCUCAG
rnacentral:SRP_RNA from 1 species